AUUGAACGCUGGCGGCAGGCUUAACACAUGCAAGUCGAGCGGAAACGAAGAUAGCUUGCUAUCAGGCGUCGAGCGGCGGACGGGUGAGUAACGCGUAGGGAUCUACCUAGUAGGUGGGGAUACGCCCAGAGUAAGUUUGGAAUUAAUACCGCAUACGCCCUACGGGGAAAGGAGGGGAUCUUCGGACCUUUCGCUAUUAGAUAAGCCUGCGUGAGAUUAGCUAGUUGGUGGGGUAAAGGCUCACCAAGGCGACGAUCUCUAGCUGGUCUGAGAGGAUGAUCAGCCACACUGGGACUGAGACACGGCCCAG
rnacentral:rRNA from 1 species